AAGCAACAGGUAAUUAUCUACCUGGUUAUUCUGUUGAACAAAUUACCUUGACAAAAGACCAUCUGUCAACAAACACCAAGCGAGAUGGGUGGACAACUAAUCACACCUUGUCACAUGUUUCAUUCAUUUCUCUCCACUCAGGCCAGAUACAGUUACACGCAACAGAUUGCCUUACCGUUAUUACAUGGGAAACAACUUGAGCAUAAUGUGACAAACACAGCAGCAGUCGCCAAGGGGAACACGUAACUAAAACACUGUUAGUUGUGCAUUUGCACACAACGCAUGGUGUGUUGUGCGUAUAUGCUUGCAGAUGUUGUGUGCCAACAGACACCGAAAAUGGUAACUAAAAUGUUCAUAAUGACUCCUCAGCUGUUAGACAUCAUUAGAUAUCUCCUAAUCAACUGGGAAUGUAAGAGUGAGACAUCAGUGGCUUCUCUUGGUCUACCUGGUUCUGACUCCACUAGACUGUGUCUGAAUAAUCGAUGUGGGUGAAAGAGGCAGCAGAUGGAAGCAUUCAACACCCUUGUGGUGUUUUACUGAAAUAAUGAUUCCCUGAAGGGCAUCUCUGAGAAGAUCUGCUACAGCAGAGGCCAGGAAUAUUGCUUAUCGUACAAUACCCAAUGACUUGAUGCAGACAUAGCUAUUAUUAGUGUUUUAGUAUUACUAUUUACAACACAUACAUAAUGGUAGGUGUUUUAAUUUGCAGGUAAAAGAUAAAAAUUACUGUUUUUUAAACUAAAACUUGUGAGUGACAGAUGGUGCUUUUUUCACCUUCUGUCAUCCUUCGCACAGACGCCUGAUCCUUAAGUCCUUAAGUGAUGGAUCUUAUCAGCAGCAUACCUGCCCAGCUUCCCUAUUACCAUUAUGCAUGUACAUUUGCAAAGAGCCUGUUGUGCCAAAACACAAAAUCUGUACCAAUGUGUGUGUGUGUGUAUACAGGCAUUUUCUCGUAACAAAAGCGUCCCGAUAAUGACUCGCACUAAAAGAAGUUCUGAGAAGCUAUUUGCAGAAAGAUGUUCCACAAGUUAUGGGCCUUGAUAGAUGGGGGUUGGUACAGACGUACUCUGGCUCUGCAGGACACAAAGAUAAUAUGAAAUGCAUCCAUCAACAAAGAAUGCAAAUGCUAAAAGAAUAAAUAAAUACCAGUGAUGCUGAUGCUGUGUGGAAGCACAUGCAGCGUUUUAUCAUUUCAUCCACUGUGAAGUGGAAUUUGAGGUUUGGAUUUGCGGCUGGCAAGUUUAUCCAAGCACAUUAAGCUGCUCUCACCUGUCUUUUUAAACAGACCACUUGGGCGGUUUAUAUGGACCAGAUUUGGCGUUUUCUUGCAGAAAGAGUGGCUGGAAACAACAUGGUGUUGAAAAUCCUGUGUAAAUGUGUGUGUCACUAUAUAUUGAGCUUUCAGAAAGGUUCGUUUCAGUCUUAUUUCUAAUUACCCAGAGGAGGAAAAUUGAACAAAAAUAGCUGUUUUGGAAAAAGCCUCAUAAAUUGGAUUAUAGCUAAAAAGCUUUAGUGUUAUAUUUACUCAUUUACUGCCUCUUCUGUUUGUCUCUGGAUCACAGGAUUACUACAAGGCCAAGCCAGGCUGGUUGUUUAAAGUGCCAGGUCAGUUUCACCUUGAGACAAAGUCAUUUCUCAACUAGUCUUUGACCAAUUGAUUACAAUACACAGAACAACAAGUAUAUACUACUGUUAUCUCUGCAUUAUAAAAAACCUUAAAUCCAAUUCCACUGUUUGCACGGAUUAUCUGCUUUUAGUCUGAACACAGAACGAAAGGAUUAGCAGGGACAAGUGCAGUUAAGGAGAUAUGGUCGGACAGUGUCUUAAUUGUGUUCUUAACAGAUCUGCUCAUGUCAGAUAUGGUGUUCAAUCACAGUCAUGUGCCUCAUAGGACAGGGCUUUAUCAGUGCGGCUUCUUAUCCGAAGCAAGGUUGCUGCUAAUCUACUCACAAAUCUCUGUAUGUCUCCCACUGUCAGGGAGUUGGAGAGAAGGAGAAAUGAUAGAGAAGCCCGUCAUUAAACACAGGUGAAGCGCCUUGACCUUUUGUGCGUUUUCUUUCUCAUCUGUCGCUUCAUGCUCCUGUCACUUAAGUGCCACGCAGUAGCCUCCACUUCACUUCGGACGGGUGAGUGGCCACCAAUGAUGGUCAUCAAGUUGGUUGGGUUGCCAUAGAGACCAUCAGAUUCAAUCAUUUUAACGUCCCUGUAUAUGAAUGCAAGUCUCGCUGCACUUUCAUGUCACUGACACUUUGUUGUGCUAAAGCUUUGCAGAGAAAAAAAAACGCAGAGUCAACUGAUUUGAGUUCCAUGUGAUGUGUGUGGCCUCAGCGGAGUUCAUUAAGGAACUUUAUUCUCA